rnacentral:rRNA from 1 species
AGCAGUAGCCGCGGUAACACCAGCACCUCGAGUGGUCAGGAGGUUUAUUGGGCCUAAAGCAUCCGUAGCCGGUUGCAUAAGUUUUCGGUUAAAUCUAUGCGCUUAACGUAUAGGCCGCCGAAAAUACUGUGCAGCUAGGGAGUGGGAGAGGUACACGGUACUCGAUAGGAAGGGGUAAAAUCCUUUGAUCUAUUGAUGACCACCUGUGGCGAAGGCGGUGUGCCAGAACACGUUCGACGGUGAGGGAUGAAAGCUGGGGGAGCAAACCGGAUUAGAUACCCCGGUAGUCCCUGUCUCUUAUAC